GCCCAAAUUUUUCCCUCCUAGAAUUUAUGGUUUCCCACUUUCCCUCCCGUACCCGCUAAACCUUUAUUCCCAAUUUUUUUUCAAUUUCCAUCAAAAUUUCUCCGGUUUUUGAUUCCAAACCCUAACCGUGUCAUUUCAUUCCACAAACUUCUUUCCAGAGAAAGAAACUGCAGAUUCCUUUUCCAAGUGAAGAUGCAUAAACCAUUGACGAACAACAUGCUUGUUCUUUACAAUAUGGAAUCCGGACAACAUGCUCACGAAAUCCCCACUUAGUCCGACCACAUUAAGCUCCAAUCCAUCAAGCUUGAAGCCUCCUAUGAACUGAUGUAGUUCAGUAAAAGUAUGCAUGCAUUAUUUGGUUCUUGUUAACGAGGAUGAUGGGAUAUUUCAAGAUGGUUUGGAAAAUGUUGAGAAUGAAGAGGAUAUUGUGAGAUUUUAAGACAAAAUAAAUGAAGAACUACAACCUUCAAUCAGGAGCCUUGAAGUUGAAAAACACAUAGUUGCUUGAAAUGUGAAAAGAAAAUGAAGACUACCAGCAAAGGAAAAAAUUUGAGCUAGAAGCUACGCGGAAAGAUUUUCACAGCCAACAUGCAAACUCUGAAGCUACGAUACCACGUAUUGUGAAAAAACUACUAUUAGAGUACUUUGGAAUCUUAGAGAUGAGUAGAAGGUUUACGUUACUUUUAUUCAUUGUAAUUGACAACUAUAUUUUAAUUACAUUCUUACUUUGAGGUUGGAUGUAUGUUAAAUUAUGAUAUAAGAUUAAUUAUUAUAUUUAUGUUAUUAUUGUAUUGGU
rnacentral:lncRNA from 1 species